UACAGAGGGUGCGAGCGUUGUCCGGAAUCACUGGGCGUAAAGGGCGCGUAGGUGGUGGCUUAAGCGUGCGGUGAAAGCUCGGAGCUCAACUCCGAGUCGGCCGUGCGAACUGGGCUCACUGGAGCAUAGUAGAGGCAGGUGGAAUUCCGGGUGUAGCGGUGGAAUGCGUAGAGAUCCGGAAGAACACCGGUGGCGAAGGCGGCCUGCUGGGCUAUGGCUGACACUGAGGUGCGAAAGCGUGGGGAGCAAACAGG
rnacentral:rRNA from 1 species